rnacentral:rRNA from 1 species
AUUGAACGCUGGCGGCACGCCUAACACAUGCAAGUCGAGCGGUAACAUGAUAAGUAGCAAUACUUAUUGAUGACGAGCGGCGGACGGGUGAGGAACACGUAGGAACUUGCCCAAGAGAGGGGGAUAACCAAGGGAAACUUUGGCUAAUACCGCAUAUACUCGUGAGAGGAAAGCUGUUUGGAGUGAUCCUGAUGGCGCUUUUGGAGAGGCCUGCGUCCGAUUAGCUAGUUGGUGAGGUAAAAGCUCACCAAGGCGAUGAUCGGUAACUGGUCUGAGAGGACGACCAGUCACACUGGGACUGAGACACGGCCCAGACACCUACGGGUGGCUG